CGGCAGGCUUAACACAUGCAAGUCGAACGCACCCUUCGGGGUGAGUGGCGCACGGGUGAGUAACGCGUGGGAAAUUGCCUUGGAGUGGGGGAUAACCACUGGAAACGGUGGCUAAUACCGCAUACGCCCUACGGGGGAAAGAUUUAUCGCUCCGAGAUGUGCCCGCGUCGGAUUAGGUAGUUGGUGAGGUAAUGGCUCACCAAGCCGACGAUCCGUAGCUGGUCUGAGAGGAUGAUCAGCCACACUGGGACUGAGACACGGCCCAGACUCCUACNNNAGGCAGCAGUGGGGAAUAUUGGACAAUGGGCGCAAGCCUGAUCCAGCCAUGCCGCGUGAGUGAUGAAGGCCUUCGGGUUGUAAAGCUCUUUCAGAGGUGACGAUGAUGACGGUAACCUCAGAAGAAGCCCCGGCUAACUUCGUGCCAGCAGCCGCGGUAAUACGAAGGGGGCUAGCGUUGUUCGGAAUUACUGGGCGUAAAGCGCGCGUANGCGGUGUGCAUAGUCA
rnacentral:rRNA from 1 species